rnacentral:rRNA from 1 species
AUGGCGAUCACCCUCACGCAGUACGAGCGCCACCUCAGCCUCCAGUGCCACAAGAUCGUCGGCAUUGAUCUCGAGUACAACAAUGUGCCUGAAGCGACGUGCACCAUCUUUGACAACUUCCUCGCCGACCCCAGGUACACCUUUGCAGGCUUCUCCAUCGACAACGACAAAACCAGGCUAGAGCGCGUCAAUCUGGAGGUCGCCAACUUCGUCGACAUCCAGAAGGAGUGGAGGGUGCCCGAGGCAACCAAGGAGUUGGACUCCCUUGGAGACGUCUCCGGCAUGCUCAUCGACGACUACUACAACCACAUGAAGAAGAAGAUCACCGACGACAAGCACAAGCGCUGGUCCACCCUGCCUCUAUCCAUGAGGAACAUCGAGUACGCGGCAAAGGACGCCUACGCAGCGUACGAGAUAUGGAACCGCAUCACCCUCACCCAGGACGGGCUUUGCCGUGCACAGCUGGAGAAGGAGGAGCCCCCCAAGAAGCACGCUAGGAGCAGCUAG